UACGGGGGGGCAAGCGUUGUUCGGAAUUACUGGGCGUAAAGGCUCGUAGGCGGCCAACUAAGUCAUACGUGAAAUCCCUCGGCUUAACCGGGGAACUGCGUCUGAUACUGGAUGGCUUGAGUUCGGGAGAGGGAUGCGGAAUUCCAGGUGUAGCGGUGAAAUGCGUAGAUAUCUGGAGGAACACCGGUGGCGAAGGCGGCAUCCUGGACCGAUACUGACGCUGAUGAGCGAAAGCCAGGGGAGCAAACGGG
rnacentral:rRNA from 1 species